rnacentral:lncRNA from 1 species
UCCGUAAGCACAUUUUCUCAGGGUGCGUUUGGUUCGCAUUAUAAAAAAUUAUUAAAAAUAAAAGAUAUUCGAGAAUCUUAUUUCUAUUCAUUUUAUUACUAAAAAUGUAAAAUUUCUGUGUUUGGUUCGCACGGUAAUAUUAAUUAGCCAUGUUAUUUAAUAUUACAAAAAAAUAUAUAAUUAAUUAAUUAAUUUAUUUAAUUAAUUUUAGAUAAUGUUACUAAAAAUUGCAACAUCUUUUUAGAAAAAAAUGAGAGAAAGUAUAAGUUAGAGAGAGAGAGCAUAAUUAAAAAAAUAGAAAGAAAAAUAUAGUCGAAAUUAGAAGGAGUGAGAGAAUUGAAAUUUUAGAAAGAGAGAGAGAGAAAGCUUAGUUUAUAGAGAGAAAAAAAAAAGUUGAAUUUUAAAGAAAAAAAUAAGUUUAGAGAGAGAUAUAAGGUUAGAGUGUAAAGAAAAAUAAUAUCAAUUAGCCGGCGGGUAGGAAGAAAAAAAGAGAUUAGAUAUAUUAUGAUUACUUAAAUCCAUUAAUAUGAGGAUACCCACCCCCCUCAAAGAAAUGAGAUUAGUACUUUGGGGUGAAUCUUAUUCCCAAGUGAAUCCAAUAUUACCAACUAGAUUACUUAGUGCAUUUAGCCAAACACCGUCAUAUUUUUUUAUUUCCAUUGGAUUACUAGGAAUCUUUAAAAUAUAGCGCGAACCAAACGCACCCCAAAUGUAAUCUAAUCCUGCUGCACUGCGCCGCGAGAUUACUCUUGAAUCUUCUGAU